rnacentral:rRNA from 1 species
GGUGCGCGAUACAGGGUGACAGCCCCGUACACAAAAGCGCAUGUGCUGUGAGCUCGAUGAGUAGGGCGGGACACGUGGUAUCCUGUCUGAAUAUGGGGGGACCAUCCUCCAAGGCUAAAUACUCCUGACUGACCGAUAGUGAACCAGUACCGUGAGGGAAAGGCGAAAAGAACCCCGGCGAGGGGAGUGAAAAAGAACCUGAAACCGUGUACGUACAAGCAGUGGGAGCACAGGUUUACCUGUGUGACUGCGUACCUUUUGUAUAAUGGGUCAGCGACUUAUAUUCUGUAGCAAGGUUAACCGUAUAGGGGAGCCGGAGGGAAACCGAGUCUUAAUUGGGCGUUAAGUUGCAGGGUAUAGACCCGAAACCCGGUGAUCUAGCCAUGGGCAGGUUGAAGGUUGGGUAACACUAACUGGAGGACCGAACCGACUAAUGUUGAAAAAUUAGCGGAUGACCUGUGGCUGGGGGUGAAAGGCCAAUCAAACCGGGAGAUAGCUGGUUCUCCCCGAAAGCUAUUUAGGUAGCGCCUCGUGAAUUCAUCUCCGGGGGUAGAGCACUGUUUCGGCUAGGGGGCCAUCCCGGCUUACCAACCCGAUGCAAACUGCGAAUACCGGAGAAUGUUAUCACGGGAGACACACGGCGGGUGCUAACGUCCGUCGUGAAGAGGGAAACAACCCAGACCGCCAGCUAAGGUCCCAAAGUCAUGGUUAAGUGGGAAACGAUGUGGGAAGGCCCAGACAGCCAGGAUGUUGGCUUAGAAGCAGCCAUCAUUUAAAGAAAGCGUAAUAGCUCACUGGUCGAGUCGGCCUGCGCGGAAGAUGUAACGGGGCUAAACCAUGCACCGAAGCUGCGGCAGCGAACGUAUCACCCAAGACAACUUUACGGAGUUGACGAUUGACGGAGCGAAGCGACGUCAAAGCGUUCAUUAAAGUCGAGUUGGCUUAGGGAUACGUUCGUUGGGUAGGGGAGCGUUCUGUAAGCCUGUGAAGGUGUGUCGUGAGGCAUGCUGGAGGUAUCAGAAGUGCGAAUGCUGACAUAAGUAACGAUAAAGCGGGUGAAAAGCCCGCUCGCCGGAAGACCAAGGGUUCCUGUCCAACGUUAAUCGGGGCAGGGUGAGUCGACCCCUAAGGCGAGGCCGAAAGGCGUAGUCGAUGGGAAACGGGUUAAUAUUCCCGUACUUGGUGUUACUGCGAAGGGGGGACGGAGAAGGCUAUGUUGGCCGGGCGACGGUUGUCCCGGUUUAAGCGUGUAGGUGUGUGUUCCAGGUAAAUCCGGUUCACUUUAACACUGAGGCGUGACGACGAGGCACUACGGUGCUGAAGCAACAAAUGCCCUGCUUCCAGGAAAAGCCUCUAAGCAUCAGGUAACAUCAAAUCGUACCCCAAACCGACACAGGUGGUCAGGUAGAGAAUACCAAGGCGCUUGAGAGAACUCGGGUGAAGGAACUAGGCAAAAUGGUGCCGUAACUUCGGGAGAAGGCACGCUGACACGUAGGUGAAGUGAUUUACUCAUGGAGCUGAAGUCAGUCGAAGAUACCAGCUGGCUGCAACUGUUUAUUAAAAACACAGCACUGUGCAAACACGAAAGUGGACGUAUACGGUGUGACGCCUGCCCGGUGCCGGAAGGUUAAUUGAUGGGGUCAGCGCAAGCGAAGCUCCUGAUCGAAGCCCCGGUAAACGGCGGCCGUAACUAUAACGGUCCUAAGGUAGCGAAAUUCCUUGUCGGGUAAGUUCCGACCUGCACGAAUGGCGUAAUGAUGGCCAGGCUGUCUCCACCCGAGACUCAGUGAAAUUGAACUCGCUGUGAAGAUGCAGUGUACCCGCGGCAAGACGGAAAGACCCCGUGAACCUUUACUAUAGCUUGACACUGAACAUUGAGCCUUGAUGUGUAGGAUAGGUGGGAGGCUUUGAAGUGUGGACGCCAGUCUGCAUGGAGCCGACCUUGAAAUACCACCCUUUAAUGUUUGAUGUUCUAACGUGGACCCGUAAUCCGGGUUGCGGACAGUGUCUGGUGGGUAGUUUGACUGGGGCGGUCUCCUCCUAAAGAGUAACGGAGGAGCACGAAGGUUGGCUAAUCCUGGUCGGACAUCAGGAGGUUAGUGCAAUGGCAUAAGCCAGCUUGACUGCGAGCGUGACGGCGCGAGCAGGUGCGAAAGCAGGUCAUAGUGAUCCGGUGGUUCUGAAUGGAAGGGCCAUCGCUCAACGGAUAAAAGGUACUCCGGGGAUAACAGGCUGAUACCGCCCAAGAGUUCAUAUCGACGGCGGUGUUUGGCACCUCGAUGUCGGCUCAUCACAUCCUGGGGCUGAAGUAGGUCCCAAGGGUAUGGCUGUUCGCCAUUUAAAGUGGUACGCGAGCUGGGUUUAGAACGUCGUGAGACAGUUCGGUCCCUAUCUGCCGUGGGCGCUGGAGAACUGAGGGGGGCUGCUCCUAGUACGAGAGGACCGGAGUGGACGCAUCACUGGUGUUCGGGUUGUCAUGCCAAUGGCACUGCCCGGUAGCUAAAUGCGGAAGAGAUAAGUGCUGAAAGCAUCUAAGCACGAAACUUGCCCCGAGAUGAGUUCUCCCUGAGACUUAGAGUCUCCUGAAGGAACGUUGAAGACGACGACGUUGAUAGGCCGGGUGUGUAAGCGCAGCGAUGCGUUGAGCUAACCGGUACUAAUGAACCGUGAGGCUUAACCUUACA